AGAGUUUGAUCCUGGCUCAGAAUGAACGCUGGCGGCGUGGAUUAGGCAUGCAAGUCGAACGAUCUCUUUCUUCGGAGGGGGAUAGUGGCGAACGGGUGAGUAAUAUGUGAGUAAUUUGCCUUUAGGCUCGGGACAACUCGUCGAAAGAUGAGCUAAUACCGGAUGAGACCACGGUUCUUAGGGACAGUGGUUAAAGAUGGGGAUCUUGAAAAUAGACCUGUCACCUUUAGAUGAGCUCACAGACUAUCAGCUUGUUGGUGGGGUAAAAGCCUACCAAGGCUAUGACGGUUAGCUGGUCUGAGAGGAUGGUCAGCCACACUGGGACUGAGACACUGCCCAGACUCCUACGGGAGGCUGCAGUCGAGAAUCUUUUGCAAUGCCCGAAAGGGUGACAAUGCGACGCCGCGUGAGCGAUGAAGGUCUUCGGAUCGUAAAGCUCUGUCAGUGGGGAUGAAAGUAUAUAGGUUAAUAACCUGUAUAACUGACGGUACCCGCAAAGGAAGCCACGGCUAACUCCGUGCCAGCAGCCGCGGUAAUACGGAGGUGGCACGCGUUAUUCGGAUUUACUGGGUGUAAAGGACAUGUAGGCGUCUUACUAAGUCGGAUGUGAAAUCCCUUGGCUCAACCAAGGAACUGCAUCCGAUACUGGCAAGAUUGAGUAUGGGAGAGGUAAGCGGAAUUCCGGAAGUAAGGGUGAAAUCUGUAGAUAUCCGGAGGAACACCAUUAGCGAAGUGCGGCUUACUGGCCCAAUACUGACGCUGAAAUGUGAAAGCUAGGGGAGCGAACAGGAUUAGAUACCCUGGUAGUCCUAGCCGUAAACGAUGAUCACUAGGUGCUGGCCCGCGAGGGGCAGUGUCGUAGCUAACGCGUUAAGUGAUCCACCUGGGGACUACGGUCGCAAGGCUAAAACUCAAAGGAAUUGACGGGGACCCGCACAAGCGGUGGAGCAUGUGGUUUAAUUCGAUGCUACGCGAGGAACCUUACCUGGGCUUGACAUGAUAGUAGUAGGAAUCCGAAAGGGCUACGACCUGUAUAAGUCAGGAGCUAUCACAGAUGCUGCAUGGCUGUCGUCAGCUCGUGUCGUGAGAUGUUGGGUUAAGUCCCGCAACGAGCGCAACCAUUGUCCUAUGUUGCCACUCCGGUUCGCCGGAAGCACUCUUAGGAGACUGCCAGUGUUCAACUGGAGGAAGGAGGAGAUGACGUCAAGUCAGUAUGGCUCUUACGCCCAGGGCUACACACGUGCUACAAUGGUC
rnacentral:rRNA from 1 species